rnacentral:rRNA from 1 species
UUCCGGUUGAUCCUGCCCGGAGGUCACUGCUAUGGGAUUCGAUUAAGCCAUGCGAGUCGAGAGGGGUUCGGCCCUCGGCUGACGGCUCAGUAACACGUGGAUAAUCUGCCCUUAGGUGGAGGAUAAUCUCGGGAAACUGAGGACAAUACUCCAUAGGUUUAGGUGGCUGGAAUGCAUCUAGACUGAAAGCUCCAGCGCCUAAGGAUGAGUCUGCGGACUAUCAGGUAGUAGUCAGGGUAAAGACCUGACUAGCCUACGACGGAUACGGGUUGCGAGAGCAAUAACCCGGAGACGAUACCUGAGACACGAUAUCGGGCCCUACGGGGCGCAGCAGGCGCGAAAACUUCACACUGUGCGAAAGCACGAUGAGGGAAUCCCAAGUGCUUGCUCGUAAGAGUAAGCUGUUUUUCUGUCUAAAACGCAGAGAGAGUAAGAGCUGGGUAAGACGGGUGCCAGCCGCCGCGGUAAUACCUGCAGCUCAAGUGGUGGCCGCUAUUAUUGGGCCUAAAACGUCCGUAGCCGGUUUAGUAAAUGCCUGGGUAAAUCGUGUAGCUUAACUAUACGAAUUCCGGGUAGACUGCUAAACUUGAGACCGGGAGAAGCCAGAGGUACUCCUAGGGUAGAGGUGAAAUUCUGUAAUCCUAGGGGGACCACCAGUGGCGAAGGCGUCUAGCUAGAACGGGUCUGACGGUGAGGGACGAAACCCUGGGGCGCAAACCGGAUUAGAUACCCGGGUAGUCCAGGGCGUAAACGCUGCUCGCUUGAUGUUAGUUGGGCUCCGAGCCCAAUUAGUGUCGGAGAGAAGUUGUUAAGCGAGCUGCCUGGGAAGUACGGUCGCAAGGCUGAAACUUAAAGGAAUUGGCGGGGGAGCACAGCAACGGGUGGAGCGUGCGGUUUAAUUGGACUCAACGCCGGA